rnacentral:rRNA from 1 species
UACGUAGGGUGCGAGCGUUAAUCGGAAUUACUGGGCGUAAAGAGUGCGUAGGCGGUUUCUCAAGUCCGCUGUGAAAUCCCCGGGGCUCAACCCUGGGAAUGGCAGUGGAAACUAGGAGACUUGAAUCGUGGCAGAGGGGGGUGGAAUUCCACGGUGUAGCAGUGAAAUGCGUAGAGAUGUGGAGGAACACCGAUGGGCGAAGGACAGCCCCCUGGGCUAACACGAUGACGCCUCGAGGCACGAAGCGU